CAGUAGCCGCGGGAAUACGUAGGGUGCAAGCGUUAAUCGGAAUUACUGGGCGUAAAGCGUGCGCAGGCGGUUUGUUAAGACAGAUGUGAAAUCCCCGGGCUCAACCUGGGAACUGCAUUUGUGACUGGCAAGCUAGAGUGUGGCAGAGGGGGGUGGUAUUCCGCGUGUAGCAGUGAAAUGCGUAGAUAUGCGGAGGAACACCGAUGGCGAAGGCAGCCCCCUGGGCCAACACUGACGCUCAUGCACGAAAGCGUGGGGAGCAAACAGGAUUAGAUACACCAGUAGUCCCUGUCUCUUAUAC
rnacentral:rRNA from 1 species